ACGGGAGGCAGCAGUGAGGAAUAUUGGUCAAUGGAGGCAACUCUGAACCAGCCAUCUCGCGUGAAGGAAUACGGCCCUACGGGUCUUAAACUUCUUUUAUAGGGGGAUAAAGUGAGGCAUGCAUGCCUUUUUGCAGGUACCCUAUGAAUAAGCGUCGGCCAACUCCGUGCCAGCAGCCGCGGUAAUACGGAGGAUGCGAGCGUUAUCCGGAUUUAUUGGGUUUAAAGGGUGCGCAGGCGGCACGUUAAGUCAGCGGUGAAAUGUCGGGGCUCAACCCGGGCACUGCCGUUGAAACUGGCGAGCUCGAGUACGGAUGAAGUUGGCGGAAUGUGAUGUGUAGCGGUGAAAUGCUUAGAUAUGUCACAGAACACCGAUUGCGAAGGCAGCUGACUAAUCCGCAACUGACGCUCAGGCACGAAAGCGUGGGGAUCGAACAGGAUUAGAUACCCUGGUA
rnacentral:rRNA from 1 species